rnacentral:tRNA from 1 species
GCGCGUGUGGCUCAAAAGGCUAGGGCACUGGUCCCAUACGCCAGAGGUAGCGGGUUUAAACCCAGCCAUGGCCA